CAUUUUUAAAUUCAUAAGCAGUUAUUUAACUUUUUUUAAAAUUGGUCUUGAAAAUAUGUUAGAUAAAUUAAUAUAGACUCAAUCCAACCAGCUGGUAGGUACUAAAUUGUCUUACCAACCAUGUUUUUCCCGUUCGUUCACACAACUAUUGAAUAUGUGCAUAUCUUUUAUACCUGCAAUAUAAAUUUGUAUGGUAUUGUGUUACAAUCAUUGAUAGGGGAUUUACUUUUAUAUGCAUUUUCAAUUAUCAAAUACCUAGUUUGCAUUUAGGUUUCAAAAACAAAUCAAUAUAAGUUGUGUAUAAUAUUGUUGGUCUUAGGAAAAAGAACUCCUGGCCAAAAAAGAUUAGGAAAAGACCCCCUUGAUAAGUUAAUAGCUGUUUAAAAAAUAAGUAUGUGAAUUUUCUAAAAAAUUAAAAAUAUUGUACCUAACAUAGUAACAUCCAAUGAUUAUAAAUUCAAAAAACAACCUUAUUCAAAGAUACCUAUAUAUUUUAC